UACAGAGGUCUCAAGCGUUGUUCGGAUUUAUUGGGCGUAAAGGGCGCGUAGGCGGCGGGGUAAGUCGGGUGUGAAAUCUCAGGGCUCAACCCUGAAACUGCACUUGAUACUGCUCUGCUUGAGGACUGGAGAGGAGACUGGAAUUCACAGUGGAGCAGUGAAAUGCGUAGAUAUUGUGAGGAACACUAGUGGCGAAGGCGAAUCUCUAGACAGUUCCUGACGCUGAGGCACGAAGGCCAGGGGAGCAAACGGG
rnacentral:rRNA from 1 species